rnacentral:lncRNA from 1 species
AAUAUUACUUCAAAACAUUAAAACACAUUUGUCGUUUAAGUACUACAUCUACACUCGAAAAUAAGAGCCUAAUAAAAAAAUAAUACAUACACUACUAAUCUAUUACAAAUUUUAAAUGUGCAAGGAUAUGCAAAAUGAAACAGUUUUUGUUUUCAAGGUUGUGAAAUCUUUCUCAAAAGUUUAAACCUCAAUUUACAAAAUCCUCGAUUUACAUCGAUCAUCAUGAAAUUGCAUUGGAACUUUGGCUUGAUCUAUUGCCUUCAAUAGUUAUGUUGAUGAUGUUUUCAAUAAGGUUUUCCACGUCAUAACUAUCUUCUGCAUAAACUAAGCAUAGAAAAAACCAAACAUUAAAAAUCAUUCAAAUUAUGAGAAGUUUACCAAAAUAAUUAUGAAAAAAAAUAAAACA